AGCAGUAUAAAUGCUGAGCAGGAACUCCAGAAGAUGAAAACUUCUCUCCAGAGCAUGCCCUUUGUCUAGCCCUGCCUAGCUCAGUUUAUUGAAGCCUUUUGGGGUUCUGUAUAGUUGUUAUCUUCAUUAAGUGGAAGUAUUGUUGACUAACACUGUUGUUUGAUUGUUACCCUUUUGGAAGCUGUAGGGAGGUGGGUGCCUUUUUCUUUUGUCCUGUACAUGGUUUUCUCCUGGUUUGAGGAUUAGAUAGGGAGUGAGUGUAUAAUUUUGUUGUUGAUUUUAUUUUCAUUUGACAGGUUUAGAAAGAUUCUAACCCCCAGAAUAGAAACACGUUUGUUUGUUGUUUUGGCAUUGAUCCCCCUCCUGAAGUUUUUGCUUCCUUUCUUAAUUUUAUAUUUCUUUGUUCAAGAAUUAUGUAUACUCCCUGCAUUCCCUGAGCUGUUAAUAAACCCUUUUAACAGGGAUGUUGUUGCUAUGCGGUGGCAGGGGGCUUGGGUAAAUGCUCUUUGUAAAUCCUUAAUAUUGUUACGUUACAUUCCAACCCCUAGACCUGUAAGACGUAACAAUACAGUAAAGUACUGUAAGAAAAAAAAAAGCAAACCGAUGACAAUUUGUGGUUGUAUUUCUCUAGAAUGACUAUAAGACCUUCUGGGGGAGGACGCCAACGCCUGUUCACACAACAGCAGGAACUUGCCGUUGUGGACCUAGUGAGAGCAGACAAUGCCAUCCGUCUCCACCAGCUACAACAGAAAAUACUUGCAGACAGGCAAGUGUUCAACAACAUAAACCAUGUGAGCAUCACCACAAUCAGACACAUCUUGGGAAAACACAACAUCACCAUGAAGCAGCUCUACAGGGUCCCAUUUGAGAGGAACAGUGUCAGGGUCAAAGGACUUCGAGCUGAAUUUGUAUGGGCAAUGGAACAGGCCUGCGUUUACAUUCAGGUGACCGCAAUCCAUGGAUGGUUUCGACAUGCAAGGGUAUAUUUUCCCCGGUGCCUAGCAGGAGAAGACAUUGCUUGCGAUGUCAAUGAGGUCCUGUGGCCAGACCCCAACAGACAACGGG
ensembl:lncRNA